rnacentral:miRNA from 1 species
UAUCACAGCCGUGCUUUAAGGGCUU